rnacentral:rRNA from 1 species
UACGUAGGGUGCAAGCGUUGUCCGGAAUUAUUGGGCGUAAAGAGCUCGUAGGCGGUUUGUCGCGUCGAAUGUGAAAACCCGGGGCUCAACUCCGGGCCUGCAUUCGAUACGGGCAGACUAGAGUUCGGUAGGGGAGACUGGAAUUCCUGGUGUAGCGGUGAAAUGCGUAGAUAUCGGAAGGAACAUCAAGUGGCGAAAGCGGCUUCCGUGGACCAGUGAC